AAUCAACGCUGGCGGCGUGCCUAACACAUGCAAGUCGAACGAGAAAGUGGAGCAAUCCAUGAGUACAGUGGCGAACGGGUGAGUAACACGUGACUAACCUGCCUUCGAGUGGGGGAUAAC
rnacentral:rRNA from 1 species